rnacentral:rRNA from 1 species
AGUGAACGCUGGCGGUAGGCCUAACACAUGCAAGUCGAACGGCAGCACAGUAAGAGCUUGCUCUUACGGGUGGCGAGUGGCGGACGGGUGAGGAAUACAUCGGAAUCUACUUUUUCGUGGGGGAUAACGUAGGGAAACUUACGCUAAUACCGCAUACGACCUCCGGGUGAAAGCAGGGGAUCUUCGGACCUUGCGCGAUUGAAUGAGCCGAUGUCGGAUUAGCUAGUUGGCGGGGUAAAGGCCCACCAAGGCGACGAUCCGUAGCUGGUCUGAGAGGAUGAUCAGCCACACUGGAACUGAGACACGGUCCAGACUCCUACGGGAGGCAGCAGUGGGGAAUAUUGGACAAUGGGCGCAAGCCUGAUCCAGCCAUACCGCGUGGGUGAAGAAGGCCUUCGGGUUGUAAAGUCCUUUUGUUGGGAAAGAAAAGCAGCAGGUUAAUACCCCGCUGUUCUGACGGUACCCAAAGAAUAAGCACCGGCUAACUUCGUG